GCCCUCGGUGGCUCAGAUGGAUAAAGCGUCUGCCAUGUAAGCAGAAGAUCCCGGGUUCGAGUCCCGGUCAGGGCA
rnacentral:tRNA from 1 species